GUCGAACGGUAACAGGCCAUCGUGAUCUCUUCGGAGUGAACUAGGCGCUGACGAGUGGCGGACGGGUGAGUAAUACUUAGGAAUCUGCCCUGUAGUGGGGGACAACUCGAGGAAACUCGAGCUAAUACCGCAUACGCCCUAAGGGGGAAAGCGGGGGAUCAUUAGACCUCGCGCUAUUGGAUGAGCCUAAGUCGGAUUAGUUUGUUGGUAGGGUAAUAGCCUACCAAGGCUACGAUCCGUAGCUGGUCUGAGAGGACGAUCAGCCACACUGGGACUGAGACACGGCCCAGACUCCUACGGGAGGCAGCAGUGGGGAAUAUUGGACAAUGGGCGAAAGCCUGAUCCAGCAAUGCCGCGUGUGUGAAGAAGGCCUGAGGGUUGUAAAGCACUUUCAGUAGUGAAGAAAAAUUUAGAGUUAAUACCUUUAAGUCAUGACGUUAACUACAGAAGAAGCACCGGCUAACUCCGUGCCAGCAGCCGCGGUAAUACGGAGGGUGCGAGCGUUAAUCGGAAUUACUGGGCGUAAAGCGCGCGUAGGCGGUUUUGUAAGUCGGAUGUGAAAGCCCAGGGCUUAACCUUGGAAUUGCAUUCGAUACUGCAUCACUAGAGUAUGGUAGAGGGAAGUGGAAUUUCCGGUGUAGCGGUGAAAUGCGUAGAGAUCGGAAGGAACAUCAGUGGCGAAGGCGACUUCCUGGGCCAAUACUGACGCUC
rnacentral:rRNA from 1 species